GCGGUGUGUACAAAGGGCAGGGACAUAAUCAAUGCAAGCUGAUGACUUGCGUUUACUAGGAAUUCCUCGUUGAAGAUUAAAAAUUACAAUAAUCUAUCCCCAGCACGACGCAAUUUACAAGAUUACCCAGACCUAUCGGCCAAGGUUGUAAGCUCGAUGAGUGCGUCAGUGUAGCGCGCGUGCGGCCCAGAACAUCUAAGGGCAUCACAGA
rnacentral:rRNA from 1 species